rnacentral:rRNA from 1 species
GCGUGAGUGAUGAAGGCUCUUGGGUCGUAAAGCUCUGUCAGAGGGGAAGAACCUCCCAUCAUAUAAUACAUGGUGGGCCUGACGGUACCCUCAAAGGAAGCACCGGCUAACUCCGUGCCAGCAGCCGCGGUAAUACGGAGGGUGCGAGCGUUGUUCGGAAUUAUUGGGCGUAAAGCGCGUGUAGGCGGUUUGUUAAGUCUGAUGUGAAAGCCCUGGGCUCAACCCAGGAAGUGCAUUGGAAACUGGCAAACUUGAGUACGGGAGAGGAAAGUGGAAUUUCGAGUGUAGGGGUGAAAUCCGUAGAUAUUCGAAGGAACACCAGUGGCGAAGGCGGCUUUCUGGACCGAUACUGACGCUGAGACGCGAAAGCGUGGGGAGCAAACAGGAUUAGAUACCCUGGUAGUCCACGCCGUAAACGAUGGGUACUAGGUGUUGCGGGUAUUGACCCCUGCAGUGCCAAAGCUAACGCAUUAAGUACCCCGCCUGGGGAGUACGGCCGCAA